rnacentral:tRNA from 1 species
GGGGAUGUGGCGAAAUGGAAAACGCAGCGACUUCGCAAGUCGCGGCUGAUUCGUCAGCUUGAGGGUUCGACUCCCUCCAUCCCCA